rnacentral:rRNA from 1 species
AUGCAGCGAUGCCGCGUGAGUGAAGAAGGCCCUUGGGUUGUAAAACUCUUUCGUCGGGGAAGAAAAUGACUGUACCCGAAUAAGAAGGUCCGGCUAACUUCGUGCCAGCAGCCGCGGUAAUACGAAGGGACCUAGCGUAGUUCGGAAUUACUGGGCUUAAAGAGCACGUAGGUGGUUAAAAAAGUUGGUGGUGAAAUCCCAGAGCUUAACUCUGGAACUGCCAUCAAAACUUUUUAGCUAGAGUGUGAUAGAGGAAAGUAGAAUUUCUAGUGUAGAGGUGAAAUUCGUAGAUAUUAGAAAGAAUACCAAUUGCGAAGGCAGCUUUCUGGAUCAUUACUGACACUGAGGUGCGAAAGCAUGGGUAGCGAAGAGGAUUAGAUACCCUCGUAGUCCAUGCCGUAAACGAUGUGUGCUAGACGUUGGAAAUUUAUUUUUCAGUGUCGCAGCAAAAGCGUUAAGCACACCGCCUGGGGAGUACGACCGCAAGGUUAAAACUCAAAUGAAUUGACGGGGACCCGCACAAGCAGCGGAGCAUGUGGUCUAAUUCGAAGAUACGCGCAGAACCUUACCAACACUUGACAUGUUCGUCGCGACUUUAAGAGAUUAAAGUCUUCGGUUCGGCCGGACGAAACACAGGUGCUGCAUGGCUGUCGUCAGCUCGUGUCGUGAGAUGUUGGGUUAAGUCCCGCAACGAGCGCAACCCUUACUUUUAGUUGCCACCAUUUAGUUGAGCACUCUGAAAGAACUGCCAGUGAUAAGCUGGAGGAAGGUGGGGAUGACGUCAAGUCCUCAUGGCCC